UCCCUGGUAGUCCAAUGGCUAAGACUUCACGUUCCCAAUGCAGGGGGCCUGGGUUCAAUCCCCGGUCAGGGAA
rnacentral:tRNA from 1 species